GAUGAACGCUGGCUACAGGCUUAACACAUGCAAGUCGAGGGGAAACGACGGGGAAGCUUGCUUCCCCGGGCGUCGACCGGCGCACGGGUGAGUAACGCGUAUCCAACCUGCCUCUGACUGAGGGAUAACCCGUCGAAAGUCGGCCUAAUACCUCAUGGUAUCGUCUGCGGGCAUCCAACGACGAUUAAAGAUUUCAUCGGUCAGGGAUGGGGAUGCGUCUGAUUAGCUUGUUGGCGGGGUAACGGCCCACCAAGGCUACGAUCAGUAGGGGUUCUGAGAGGAAGGUCCCCCACAUUGGAACUGAGACACGGUCCAAAAUCAGACGGGAGGCAGCAGUGAGGAAUAUUGGUCAAUGGGCGAGAGCCUGAACCAGCCAAGUAGCGUGCAGGAAGACGGCCCUAUGGGUUGUAAACUGCUUUUAUGCGGGGAUAAAGUGAGGGACGUGUCCCUCAUUGCAGGUACCGAAUGAAUAAGGACCGGCUAAUUCCGUG
rnacentral:rRNA from 1 species